ACCACAAGAUGGCGUCCACAGCAGAAAGAGCAAGAGUCUCCUUGUGCUGAACGGUUUAACAGCACCUCCACAUCACCUGCAUCAGAGUGUGUUUUCUGCUGGAAUCUGCUGUUCAGUGUGUGUUCGGUGUGUGUUCUCCUCUUCUCCAUCUGCGUCUACUGCCUCUGUCAGAAGAAAACUACAGGUCAUCAGCUAUUCGUAAAAAAUGUAUAUCUCAAAUUAUAAAAUGUAAAUUAUUCUUAUCUUUUGUUAAGUUUCUGUAGGUUCUGGGGCUGAGAACAGACAUGUUGAGGCUGGUGAUGAAGUGUGUUAUGCUUCAUUAGACAUGCCUUCCACACAGCAACAAAGGCAGAGGAAUGAAAGAGCUCAGAGUUCAGACUUCAGUAUUUAUUCUUAUGUCAGAACCAGCAGAAUGUAAAGUAGAGUAAACUAAAGUCAUUGUUCUUUAGUAGAAAUAUGAUUCAAAAGAGUGUUAAUGACAAUGUUCUGGCAUCUGCAUCCUA